UCAAAAAAACGAUUCCUGGCAAUAUUUACUUUUAAGUAUUUGGAUCAUUUAGAUUUUAUUUAAAUACUCGUUUUUUAAAAUAUAUGUAAUCCGAUUUAUUAGAAUAUAUAUAAAUCUGUUCAAUUUAAAAACUAUUAGAUUUAAUCAGUUAAAAUGUAUGAAUAUGAAUUAAAUAAAUCUAGCCGUGAAACAAACCGGAUAAAUUCUAUGAGUUUGAUUUACAUACAAGUGUCAGGAAACUGACUUUAGCAGAAGCGGAAAUGACGUCUAUUCACACUCCAGUCAGGAGGUGGCGCCAAAAUCAAAAACAGACGCUACAGCACAUGGACUUCGCCAUUUUGCAUUGGACUGGAUCGUCAUCUCACUAGUUUACGAUCGCCAAAUUGUAGGUGAGUAAAGUUAACAAGUUUGAUGUGAUUAUCUAAAAUAUAAUUGUCUGUUGUUUAAUUACAUGUGUGACGCGUUGCAUGUUUCAGAGUAAAAUACACCUCACUACACAGAUGGUCUGUUGGAAUAUACAGCAUCAUUUCAUCGUCUAUAUGGUGGGACAACCUGCUAGACAGGUUGAAGACAUCUGUAUCUACCUCAAAGAAGGCAUGGAGAGACA